rnacentral:rRNA from 1 species
ACUACGGGUGGCUGCAGUGGGGGAUAUUGCACAAUGGGGGAAACCCUGAUGCAGCGACGCCGCGUGAGUGAAGAAGUAUUUCGGUAUGUAAAGCUCUAUCAGCAGGGAAGAAAAAAGACGGUACCUGACUAAGAAGCCCCGGCUAACUACGUGCCAGCAGCCGCGGUAAUACGUAGGGGGCAAGCGUUAUCCGGAUUUACUGGGUGUAAAGGGAGCGUAGACGGCAAUACAAGUCGGAAGUGAAAUACCCGGGCUCAACCUGGGAACUGCUUUGGAAACUGUAUGGCUGGAGUGCUGGAGAGGUGAGCGGAAUUCCUAGUGUAGCGGUGAAAGGCGUAGAUAUUAGGAGGAACACCAGUGGCGAAGGCGGCUUACUGGACAGUAACUGACGUUGAGGCUCGAAAGCGUGGGGAGCAAACAGGAUUAGAUACCCCAGUAGUC